GCGGCCUAUCAGCUUGUUGGUGAGGUAAUGGCUCACCAAGGCGACGACGGGUAGCCGGCCUGAGAGGGCGACCGGCCACACUGGGACUGAGACACGGCCCAGACUCCUACGGGAGGCAGCAGUGGGGAAUAUUGGGCAAUGGAGGGAACUCUGACCCAGCGACGCCGCGUGCGGGAUGAAGGCCUUCGGGUUGUAAACCGCUUUCAGCAAGGAAGAAGCGAAAGUGACGGUACUUGCAGAAGAAGCACCGGCUAACUAUGUACCAGCAGCCGCGGUAAUACAUAGGGUGCAAGCGUUGUCCGGAAUUAUUGGGCGUAAAGAGCUCGUAGGUGGUUCGUCACGUCGGACGUGAAAAUCUGGGGCUUAACCCCAGACCUGCAUUCGAUACGGGCGAGCUAGAGUGUGGUAGGGGAGACUGGAAUUCCU
rnacentral:rRNA from 1 species